rnacentral:rRNA from 1 species
GGCCACAGCCAUAUCACCCUGCAGCCCAAGACUGGUUGCCCACUGAAGCUAAGCAGGGUUGAGCCUGGUCAAUACCUGGAUGGGAGACCUCCUGGGAAAACUAGGUUGCUGUUGGAA